CGACAUUUCAAUUUUCGCCUGGAAAUAGCAGUAUACCAUUGUCUAGAGUCGUACAGGAUUUUAAUAAGGGGAUUCAAUAUGUGAUUUAUGAUGGUAAAUGCACGCCCCAAACACUACAAUACACUAUGCAAGGCCCAUGUGUACCAGACGAUGCCGAGUUCCUUGGUUCUAAUACUAUUGGAUACCAACCAAAGACCCUAAAUAUAAAUGGCUAUAGAUGGAAGUUUGCUAAUCAGGAGGCUUAUAUUGCUAUGACUUUUAGUGACGACUGUACUCCUUUGGUAGAAUCUAUCGUAGGCACCAUAAAUGGAGGCCCUAUUGACAGAACCUACAUCUUCAGCCGGUACGAGAAGACAAUAUCCGAUCGUUCGAUCUUCAAUAUCCCUGCCACGUGUACCACGUCUACUUAGGUUUUCCAACCACAAUGACA